rnacentral:ncRNA from 1 species
GUUUUGGUCCUAAACUUGCCAUUGUUUUUUAUCAAAUUUACACAUGCAAGCUUCAACAACCCAGUGAGAUUGCCCAAAACCCCUAAAUAGCUAUAAGGAGCUGGCAUCAGGAUUACAGAGUCAUCUAGCCCAAAACGCCUUGCUACGCCACACCCACACGGGUAUUCAGCAGUGAAUAACAUUAAAACAUGAGCGAAAGCUCGACUUAGUUAUGAUAAAUAUGGCCGGUAAAUUUCGUGCCAGCCACCGCGGUUAUACGAGAGGCCAAAAACAAUGACCAACGGCGUAAAGCGUGAUCAGAGCGUGUCAAGAAAUUUAAAGAAGAACCACCUCAAAGCCGUAAAACACCUUGACCGUGAGACUAUCAACAAUAAAAGACUUUAAACAACAGACCCCUUCCUCUCACGAAAGCUAAGGAACAAACUAGGAUUAGAUACCCUACUAUGCUUAGCCCUUAACACAGACAGUACACAUACAAUACUGUCCGCCAGAGAACUACAAGUGAAAAACUAGAAACUCCAAGGACUUGGCGGUGCUCCAUACCGACCUAGAGGAGCCUGUCCUAUAAUCGAUAAUCCACGUUUCACCUUACCCUUUUUUGUAUUUCAGCCUAUAUACCGCCGUCGUCAGCCUACCUUAUGAAAGGAACGAAGUAGGCAAAACAGUUUUCAACUAGAACGUCAGGUCAAGGUGUAGCAUAUGGAAGGGAAGAGAUGGGCUACACUUUCUUCCAUAGAACAAACGGAUUGCACAGUGAAAUCUGAGCUUAAAGGUGGAUUUAGCAGUAAGUCAGACAAGAAAAACUGCCUGAACCCCGCUCUGGAGCGCGCACACACCGCCCGUC